GAUGAACGCUGGCGGCAUGCCUUACACAUGCAAGUCGAACGGUAACAGGUCUUCGGAUGCUGACGAGUGGCGAACGGGUGAGUAAUACAUCGGAACGUGCCUAGUAGUGGGGGAUAACUACUCGAAAGAGUGGCUAAUACCGCAUGAGAUCUACGGAUGAAAGCAGGGGAUCGCAAGAACUUGUGCUACUAAAGCGGCCGAUGGCAGAGUAGGUAGUUGGUGGGAUAAAAGCUUACCAAGCCGACGAUCUGUAGCUGGUCUGAGAGGACGAUCAGCCACACUGGGACUGAGACACGGCCCAGACUCCUACGGGAGGCAGCAGUGGGGAAUUUUGGACAAUGGGCGCAAGCCUGAUCCAGCAAUGCCGCGUGCAGGAUGAAGGCCUUCGGGUUGUAAACUGCUUUUGUACGGAACGAAAAGCCCCGGGUUAAUACCCUGGGGUCAUGACGGUACCGUAAGAAUAAGUACCGGCUAACUACGUGCCAGCCGCCGCCGUAA
rnacentral:rRNA from 1 species